rnacentral:rRNA from 1 species
UGCGUAACAGCUCACUAGUCGAGGAAUCGGGCGUGGAUAAUAAUCGGGUAUUAAGUUGUCUACCGAAGCCGUGGAACCAGCAAUGGUUGGUAGGGGAGCAUUCCAUUCAGCGUCGAAGGCGUGGCGUGAGCCAUACUGGAGCGUAUGGAAAAGCAAAUGUAGGUAUAAGUAACGAUAAAGGGGGUGGGAAACCCCCUCGCCGAAAGACUAAGGUUUCCUGAUCAACGCUAAUCGGAUCAGGGUAAGUCGGGUCCUAAGGCUCAGCCGAACGGCGAGGCCGAUGGCAGAAACGGUUAAUAUUCCGUUACUACCUUUGAGGGUGACGUGGGGAAGCAGCAGUGACACCGCCGCCGGCUGACGGAAUAGCCGGUUGAAGGGUGUAGGUUUUGAUUUCCGCAGGCAAAUCCACGGAAAGAGCCGAACCUGACAGUACGCCAACUCCUUCGGGAAGCGGCGAUAGUGCGGGUAAGCAGACUGCCGAGAAAAUCCGCUAAACAUAACUUCAGAGGUACCCGUACCGCAAACGGACACACGUAGUCGGGUUGAAUAUACUAAGGCGCUUGAGUGAAUCACGGUUAAGGAACUAGGCAAACUGACCCUGUAACUUCGGGAUAAAGGGUCCCUCCUCGCAAGAGAGGGCGCAGAGAAUAGGUCCAGGCAACUGUUUAACAAAAACACAGGGCUGUGCGAAUAUGAAAGUAGAAGUAUACAGCCUGACACCUGCCCGGUGCUGGAAGGUUAAGAGGAGAUGUCAUCGCAAGAGAAGCAUUGAAUUGAAGCCCCAGUAAACGGCGGCCGUAACUAUAACGGUCCUAAGGUAGCGAAAUUCCUUGUCGGGUAAGUUCCGACCUGCACGAAUGGUGUAAUGAUCCGGACGCUGUCUCAACCGUGAGCUCAGUGAAAUUGUAGUAUCGGUGAAGAUGCCGAUUACCCGCGAUGGGACGAAAAGACCCCGUGAACCUUUACUAUAGCUUAG